rnacentral:rRNA from 1 species
GAUGAACGCUAGCUACAGGCUUAACACAUGCAAGUCGAGGGACCGGCGCACGGGAGAGUAACGCGUAUCCAACCUUCCCAUUACUGUGGGAUAACCUGCCGAAAGGCUGCCUCAUACCGCAGGGUAAUGGAUGGGGAUGGGUCUGAGUAGUUUGUUGGCGGGGUAACGGCCCACCAAGGCUACGAGGAGUAGGGGUGCUGAGAGGAAGGCCCCCCACAUUGGAACUGAGACACGGUCCAAAAUCCUAGGGGAGGGAGCGGUGAGGAAUAUUGGUCAAGGGACGCAAGUGUGAACAAGCCACGUAGCGUGCAGGAGGACGGCCUAGGGGUUGUCAAUUGCUUUUGUAUGGGGCUAGGUACCAGAUGAAGAAGGACCGGCUAAUUCCGUGCCAGCCGCCGCGGUAAUAC